rnacentral:tRNA from 2 species
GCGGGUAUCGUAUAGUGGCAUUACCCAAGCUUCCCAAGCUUGAGAGAGGGGUUCGAUUCCCCUUACCCGCUCCA